ensembl:lncRNA
GGCUCUGCAGAUCAGCCGGCAGGUGGGCCUCAGAGAAACGUGAACUUGGAAGGACAGUCUUGGAAUGGAAAUAGCCUCCCAGCCAGUCUCCCUGUCUUCCGCUGUCACUCCACCUUUCUGCUGUCCUAGGGCUCAGCAGCUCACUUGCGCCCAACUCUUUUGUGAUUCCACAGACUGCAGUCCUCCAGGCUCCUCUGCCCAUGGAAUUUUCCAGGCAAGAGUGCUAGGCAAUUCCCAUAGGUGCUCAAUGGCAUCUCCCCUCCCUGUUCUGGGCUGAGCACUUGGGCUACAGAGCGCGGUCAUUUCCCUUCAUCCCCCAGGACCUACUGAGCGAGGGGCUGGCACGGGACCACACCUUGAGGCAUGCAGGAUCCCAGUUCCUUGACCAAGGAUUGAACCUGUGCCCCCUGCAAUGGAAGCACCGAGCCUCAACCACUGAACCGCCAAGAAAGUCCCUAGUGAUUCACAAUUUUCAAAGAUUAUAUACAAUUUUAAAGAUUGAUGGAGAGCUUAGAAACCCAAUACCACAUGUAGCAUUGCUUCUGUGGGAAAUGUGUUCUUUAUCCUGAAACACUGAUCUUCCACUGAGCCUCCAGCCACUUCUAAAGUGCAUCUUUGAGCAAACAAGAAGUAUGUCUGCCUGUAGG